rnacentral:rRNA from 1 species
UGGGGAAUAUUGCACAAUGGAGGGAACUCUGAUGCAGCGACGCCGCGUGAGUGAUGAAGGAAUUCGUUUCGUAAAACUCUGUUCUAUGGGAAGAAAAGGACUGUACCAUAGGAGAAAGCUCCGGCUAAAUACGUGCCAGCAGCCGCGGUAAUACGUAUGGAGCGAGCGUUGUCCGGAAUUAUUGGGCGUAAAGGGUGCGCAGGCGGCUUUACAAGUUGGAUGUGAAAUAUUGUGGCUCAACCACAAACGUGCAUCCAAAACUGCAAAGCUUGAGUUAAGGAGAGGUAAGUGGAAUUCCUGGUGUAGCGGUGGAAUGCGUAGAUAUCAGGAGGAAUACCGGUGGCGAAGGCGACUUACUGGACUUAAACUGACGCUCAGGCACGAAAGCGAGGGGAGCAAACAGG